rnacentral:rRNA from 1 species
GAGUUGGAUCCUGGCUCAGAUUGAACGCUGGCGGCAGCCUUACACCAUCAAAGUCGAGCGCAUGAAGGGAGCAUGCUUCCUGAUUCAACGGCGGCCGGUUGAGUAAUGCUUAGGAAUCUGUCCUGGUAGUGGGGGACAACGUUCCGAAAGGAGCGCUAAUACCGCAUACGUCCUACGGGAGAAAGUGGGGGAUCUUCGGACCUCACGCUAUCAGAUGAGCCUAGGCAGGAUUAGCUAGUAGGUGGGGUGAUGGCUCACAUAGGCGACGAUCCGUAACUGGUCUGAGAGGAUGAUCAGUCACACUGGAACUGAGACACGGUCCAGACUCCUACAGGAGGCAGCAGUGGGGAAUAUUGGACAAUGGGCGAAAGCCUGAUCCAGCCAUGCCGCGUGUGUGAAGAAGGUCUUCGGGUUGUAAAGCCCUUUUGUUGGAAAAGAAAAGCUUUUCGUUAAUAUGAGAUUGGUAUGACGGUACCCAAAGAAUAAGCACCGGCUAACUUCGUGCCAGCAGCCGCGGUAAUACG